UAGGUCUAAGUCGUCUCUGAAGUAGGCCUUCGACUGAAUGACAUCCAGAAGAUUGAUUGGUGCAAACGAAGUCUUAUAAACGCUUGAAUUGCCUGAACGUACAUGUUUGAAAAUAAGACUAUCGUGCGUUGCUUCUUUCCGUAAUUUGUUCAUGCAGGUAAUAUGCAGCAGACAACAAACCGGAAGUUGAUUUGUUUAUACAUUUAUACUCCGAGGAUGUCUGUCGACUAGAAACUGUUUGAUGCAGUAGAAACAAUGCAUUGUUCCAGCAUACACAGGACAAGGAAUCAGUCCGUCGACAAAAGGGCUGGUUGGUAACCAUCAAGGUCAAUGCAAUUUACUUGGACGUAUACACAUACCAUUGAUGAGAUGGACAAAUCAUGAACAUUUUGGAAUAGAUACGAUAACUUGAUAAACAAUUGACUCUCAUAUACAUUGUAACACUGGCGAUCUGGUGACAGGAGGGAAUUCGUUAUCAGUGUUUAAACAAUUUUGUCAUGAAAUUCAUUUCUCCAUUGGCAACCGAUCAACAAUAUGAGAUUGCAAGCGACGAGAUUGUGUUCCUGUGUUGAGCUGUCAAUCUACAAAGAGAAAUGUAGGACCAUGAUCAGUAUCGAACAAGACUGAUGUUCCAAGGAAAUGAUGAAUAUUUGAAAUAAUAACCAAA